rnacentral:rRNA from 1 species
UACGUAGGGUGCAAGCGUUAAUCGGAAUUACUGGGCGUAAAGCGUGCGCAGGCGGUUUUGUAAGUCUGUCGUGAAAUCCCCGGGCUCAACCUGGGAAUUGCGAUGGAGACUGCAAGGCUAGAAUCUGGCAGAGGGGGGUAGAAUUCCACGUGUAGCAGUGAAAUGCGUAGAGAUGGGAGGAACAUCAGUGGCGAAGGCGGCCAUCUGGAU